UACGGAGGGUGCAAGCGUUAUCCGGAUUCACUGGGGUUAAAGGGUGCGUAGGCGGGUAAGUAAGUCCGUGGUGAAAUCUCUGAGCUUAACUCAGAAACUGCCGUGGAUACUAUUUGCCUUGAAUAUUGUGGAGGUGAGCGGAAUAUGUCAUGUAGCGGUGAAAUGCUUAGAUAUGACAUAGAACACCAAUUGCGAAGGCAGCUCACUACACAAUCAUUGACGCUGAGGCACGAAAGCGUGGGGAUCAAACAGG
rnacentral:rRNA from 1 species